AUUGAACGCUGGCGGCAGGCCUAACACAUGCAAGUCGAACGAGUGGCGGACGGGUGAGUAAUGUCUGGGACACUGCCCGAUGGAGGGGGAUCACUACUGGAAACGGUAGCUAAUACCGCCUACCAUCGGAUGUGCCCAGAUGGGAUUAGCUAGUAGGUGGGGUAAUGGCUCACCUAGGUGACGAUCCCUACCUGGUCUGAGAGGAUGACCAGUCACACUGGAACUGAGACACGGUCCAGACUCCUACGGGAGGCAGCAGUGGGUAAUAUUGGACAAUGGGCGAAAGCCUGAUGCAGCCAUGGCGGGUGUGUGAAGAAGGUCUUCGGGUUGUAAAGUACUUUCAGCGGGGAGGCGUUACUCUCAGAAGAAGCACCGGCUAACUCCGUGCCAGCAGCCGCGGUAAUUC
rnacentral:rRNA from 1 species